rnacentral:lncRNA from 1 species
UGUACAAAUGGUACUUCGAACUUGGAACGAGCAUGAAGAAAUUAACGAUACUUCUUUAUCUUUUGAGUUGUUCUGCCGGAUCGGUCGCUCAAGACCUUUGGUCUCUACCCGGACCCGCUGAAAAAAACGGGAUCACUUCUUCUGGACUCGUUGAGAAUGAUUCUGAUCUAGUCCAUGGCCUAUUAGAAGUAGAAGGCGCUCUGGUGGGAUCCUCGCGGACAGAAAAAGAUUGCAGUCGGUUUGAUAAUGAUCGAGUGACAUUGCUUCUUCGGCCCGAACCAAGGAAUCCCUUAGAUAUGAUGCAAAAAGGAUCUUGUUCUAUCGUUGAUCAGAGAUUUCUCUAUGAAAAAUACGAAUCGGAGUUUGAAGAAGGGGAAGGAGAAGGAGUCCUCGACCCGCAACAGAUAGAGGAGGAUUUAUUCAAUCACAUAGUCUGGGCUCCUAGAAUAUGGCGCCCCUGGGGCUUUCUAUUUGAUUGUAUCGAAAGGCCCAAUGAAUUGGGAUUUCCCUAUCGGGCCGGGUCAUUUCGGGGCAAGCGGAUCAUUUAUGAUGAAAAGGAUGAGCUUCAAGAGAAUGAUUCGGAGUUCUUGCAGAGUAGAACCAUGCAGUACCAGACACGAGAUAGAUCUUCCAACGAACAAGGCUUUUUUCGAAUAAGCCAAUUCAUUUGGGAACCUGCGGAUCCACUCUUUUUCCUAUUCAAAGAUCAGCCCUUGUCUCUGUGUUUUCACACCGAGAAUUCUUUGCAGAUGAAGAGAUGUCAAAGGGGCUUCUUACUUCCCAACCAGAUCCUCCUACAUCUAUAUAUAAACGCUGGUUUAUCAAGAAUACGCAAGAAAAGCACUUCGAAUUGUUGAUUCAUCGCCAGAGAUGGCUUAGAACCAAUAGUUCAUUAUCUAAUGGAUUUUUUCCGUUCUAAUACUCCAUCCGAGAGUUAUCAGUAUUUAUCAAAUCUGUUCCUAUCUAACGGAACGCUAUUGGAUCAAAUGACAAAGACNNNNNUUAAUUAAUUAANNNNNAUCUCAUGGAAAACCCUUUUCGCUCCCUAGCCCUAUCCCCCUCUAGGGGUAUUUUAGUGAUAGGUUCUAUAGGAACCGGACGCUCCUAUUUGGUCAAAUACCUAGCGGCAAACUCCUAUGUUCCUUUCAUUACAGUAUUUCUGAACAAGUUCCUGGAUAACAAGCCUAAAGGUUUCUUAUUGAUGAUAUCGAUGAUGCUAGUGACGAUAUUGAUGCUAGUGACGAUAUCGAUCGUGACCUUGAUACGGAGCUGGAGCUUCUAACUAUGAUGAAUGCGCUAACUAUCGAUAUGAUGUCGGAAAUAGGCCGAUUUUAUAUCACCCUUCAAUUCGAAUUAGCAAAAGCAAUGUCUCCUUGCAUAAUAUGGAUUCCAAACAUUCAUGAUCUGGAUGUGAAUGAGUCGAAUUACUUAUCCCUCGGUCUAUUAGUGAACUAUCUCUCCAGGGAUUGUGAAAGAUGUUCCACUAGAAAUAUUCUUGUUAUUGCUUCGACUCAUAUUCCCCAAAAAGUGGAUCCCGCUCUAAUAGCCCCGAAUAAAUUAAAUACAUGCAUUAAGAUACGAAGGCUUCUUAUUCCACAACAACGAAAGCACUUUUUCACUCUUUCAUAUACUAGGGGAUUUCACUUGGAAAAGAAAAUGUUCCAUACUAAUGGAUUCGGGUCCAUAACCAUGGGUUCCAAUGCACGAGAUCUUGUAGCACUUACCAAUGAGGCCCUAUCGAUUAGUAUUACACAGAAGAAAUCAAUUAUAGACACUAAUACAAUUAGAUCUGCUCUUCAUAGACAAACUUGGGAUUUGCGAUCCCAGGUAAGAUCGGUUCAAGAUCAUGGGAUCCUUUUCUAUCAGAUAGGGAGGGCUGUUGCACAAAAUGUACUUCUAAGUAAUUGCCCCAUAGAUCCUAUAUCUAUCUAUAUGAAGAAGAAAUCGUGUAACGAAGGGGAUUCUUAUUUGUACAAAUGGUACUUCGAACUUGGAACGAGCAUGAAGAAAUUAACGAUACUUCUUUAUCUUUUGAGUUGUUCUGCCGGAUCGGUCGCUCAAGACCUUUGGUCUCUACCCGGACCCGCUGAAAAAAACGGGAUCACUUCUUCUGGACUCGUUGAGAAUGAUUCUGAUCUAGUCCAUGGCCUAUUAGAAGUAGAAGGCGCUCUGGUGGGAUCCUCGCGGACAGAAAAAGAUUGCAGUCGGUUUGAUAAUGAUCGAGUGACAUUGCUUCUUCGGCCCGAACCAAGGAAUCCCUUAGAUAUGAUGCAAAAAGGAUCUUGUUCUAUCGUUGAUCAGAGAUUUCUCUAUGAAAAAUACGAAUCGGAGUUUGAAGAAGGGGAAGGAGAAGGAGUCCUCGACCCGCAACAGAUAGAGGAGGAUUUAUUCAAUCACAUAGUCUGGGCUCCUAGAAUAUGGCGCCCCUGGGGCUUUCUAUUUGAUUGUAUCGAAAGGCCCAAUGAAUUGGGAUUUCCCUAUCGGGCCGGGUCAUUUCGGG